GGAACAGUGUGCACAAGGGCACAGAAGAAGGAGAGAGCACAGCUGGGGAACUAAAAGUAACCUAGCAUAACAAGGCAAAGACACACCUGGGGAAGUGGUGAGCCAUGCCCUGAGAAAAGGGCCAGAUCAUAAAGGUCUUUAUCCUGGGAGGAUUGCAAGUGACAGAGAGACAUAACCCUCUAUGUUUUUUAAGGAAAACCACUCUGGCAGUAUGUGGGAUGAUAAAUUUGGGAAGGGAAAAGUUAAGAGACAGAGGGAUAAGACUCUGAAGCUAUUGCAGAAAUCCACCCCGUAACGGUGGCACGAGAGCAGAAAUAUUUGAAGACCUUUGCCCCGGACUACAUUUCUGCAUAAAUUUUCCAUCCAGGUGUAAUAGGAGAAAAUGUGGCUGAGAAAAUGUGGCUAAGAAAACACAAAAAAGAAACAAAGACUAGUGGCCAUGAGAGAGAGACAGAAAGAGAGAAAAGGAAAUAAAGAGGUGCAUCCAGCUGGCCCGAAGCUGUGAACGUCCCAGUGUGACAGAUUGCAUAAUUGACCCUAAUUUCUACCCCUCCCUCUAUCCACAACUUUUGCCAUGAGACUUUGCAGUUCCACUUCCACGGGGAGAGUAUAUUCCCCCACUCCCUGAUUUUGAGCUUGGCCAGGGGAUUUACUUUGGCCCAUGGGAUGUCAGCAGACACAUCUUCAACAAGGGUUUUACUAUGUCUUUGCCCUCACCAGGCGAAGAACCCACCUCCGCUCACCUGCUGUCCGAGGAAGCUGUGAGAGACACACAUGAGCAGAACCACAGCUCAGUAUAGCAGCUCCUUACCCUAAAUCUGCUGACAUAGGAGCAAGCUCAGCAGACAUCAGCAGAGCCGUCCAGCCACCCACAGAUGUGUGAGCUAAAUAAACGCUGGCCGUCACGUGCCGCUGAGAUUUGCAUGGUUGUUUAUUACACAGAAAUGGCUGACCAAUACCCCAGCUGUGUGAGCCAGUGUAUCACCCCAUCCUUUCUUCGCCUAAUAUUUGUCAGUUUGUU